rnacentral:rRNA from 1 species
AUUGAACGCUAGCGGGAUGCCUUACACAUGCAAGUCGAACGGCAGCACGGACCUCGGUCUGGUGGCGAGUGGCGAACGGGUGCGUAAAGUAUCGGAACGUGCCCAGUAGAGGGGGAUAACUACGCGAAAGCGUAGCUAAUACCGCAUACGCCCUGAGGGGGAAAGCGGGGGAUCGCAAGACCUCGCGUUAUUGGAGCGGCCGAUAUCGGAUUAGCUAGUUGGUAGGGUAAAGGCCUACCAAGGCGACGAUCCGUAGCUGGUUUGAGAGGACGACCAGCCACACUGGGACUGAAACACGGCCCAGACUCCUACGGGAGGCAGCAGUGGGGAAUUUUGGACAAUGGGGGCAACCCUGAUCCAGCCAUUUCGCGUGUGCGAUGAAGGCCUUCGGGUUGUAAAGCACUUUUGGCAGGGAAGAAAAGGUUUGGGCUAAUACCCUGAGCCGCUGACGGUACCUGCAGAAUAAGCACCGGCUAACUACGUGCCAGCAGCCGCAGUAA